ACCUGCUCCGCUUGAUUGCCACCACCACCGCACUUGUUCAGAGAAAACGUUUGACCUCCGCACUCCAGAGAAGACACAACACCAUCAAAACGAACGUGAAACAAAACGAAACUCGAACCCUAAAUGCACAAUUUUGGGUUAAAACAAAAACCCAGUUGAACUCGCCAACUCGGAGCAGACUCACGAGUUCGAACGAGUUCACCGAGUUCAUUCCGAGUCUGCCGAGUUUACUCCAAAACCGAGUUUACUACCGAGUUAACUCGGUAAGGGUAUGUGGACACGUAAACUCGGACGAGUCAACGAGUUGACUCGCGAGUUUGAUAACCAU
rnacentral:lncRNA from 1 species